rnacentral:rRNA from 1 species
AUACGGAGGGCGCGAGCGUUAUUCGGAAUCAUUGGGCGUAAAGCGCGUGUAGGCGGCUGGGUAAGUCGGAUGUGAAAGCCCGGGGCUCAACUCCGGAAUUGCAUACGAAACUGCCUAGCUAGAGUCUCGGAGAGGAGGGCGGAAUUCCCGGUGUAGAGGUGAAAUUCGUAGAUAUCGGGAGGAACACCAGUGGCGAAGGCGGCCCUCUGGACGAUGACUGACGCUGAGACGCGAAAGCGUGGGGAGCAAACAGGAUUAGAAACCCCGGUAGUCC